GUUUGCCCAUCAGUUGCGUAAGUCAGGGGCUGGCUCCUUUUGGUGUCAGUCGACUUGACUGGGCGGGUCCAAUACCAGCCGGAUUCAGCUUGCCUUGUAGGCUUGGGGUUCUGCCGGCUGUGAGGGGUGGCUGUUCAACUCACAUUAAGCAAUCAAUUCUGAAGGCAGAUCUAUUGGCUGGCUCUGCUGGCUAUAGUCUGAUUAAAUACAGACAACUCUCAACAACGGAUAUCUUGGCUCCCGUAACGAUGAAGAACGCAGCGAAAUGCGAUACGUAGUGUGAAUUGCAGAAUUCCGUGAACCAUCGAAUCUUUGAACGCAAAUUGCGCUCGAGGCCUCGGCCAAGAGCAUGUCUGCCUCAGCGUCGGCUACUACCCUCAACUAACUUUCCUAUUGUCAUAGGGGAUGCCGGUUGGAUCUGGCUGUCCGGUUUUCCUUUCAGGUUGCCGGUCAGCUGAAAUACAUUCACGCUCUGGGAGCUGCUUUCCUUUCGAGGAAAGGCUGGUUCCGAUUUGGUAGGUGACCUUUGCCGGUUACAUGCCUUCGUUGCCCGCUAAGUCCC
rnacentral:rRNA from 1 species